UUGCUCCCUGAUGUUAGCGGCGGACGGGUGAGUAACACGUGGGUAACCUGCCUGUAAGACUGGGAUAACUCCGGGAAACCGGGGCUAAUACCGGAUGGUUGUUUGAACCGCAUGGUUCAAACAUAAAAGGUGGCUUCGGCUACCACUUACAGAUGGACCCGCGGCGCAUUAGCUAGUUGGUGAGGUAAUGGCUCACCAAGGCAACGAUGCGUAGCCGACCUGAGAGGGUGAUCGGCCACACUGGGACUGAGACACGGCCCAGACUCCUACGGGAGGCAGCAGUAGGGAAUCUUCCGCAAUGGACGAAAGUCUGACGGAGCAACGCCGCGUGAGUGAUGAAGGUUUUCGGAUCGUAAAGCUCUGUUGUUAGGGAAGAACAAGUACCGUUCGAAUAGGGCGGUACCUUGACGGUACCUAACCAGAAAGCCACGGCUAACUACGUGCCAGCAGCCGCGGUAAUACGUAGGUGGCAAGCGUUGUCCGGAAUUAUUGGGCGUAAAGGGCUCGCAGGCG
rnacentral:rRNA from 1 species